rnacentral:tRNA from 1 species
AUAUUAGUAGUGUAAAUAAACACCUCGCCUUUUCACGGCGAAAAUGUAAACCUUUUUACCUAAUAUA